GAUGGCGACCGGCGCACGGGUGAGUAACACGUAUCCAACCUGCCGAUAACUCGGGGAUAGCCUUUCGAAAGGAAAGAUUAAUAUCCGAUGGUAUAUGAAAAUCGCAUGAUAUUACUAUUAAAGAAUUUCGGUUAUCGAUGGGGAUGCGUUCCAUUAGUUUGUUGGCGGGGUAACGGCCCACCAAAGACUACGAUGGAUAGGGGUUCUGAGAGGAAGGUCCCCCACAUUGGAACUGAGACACGGUCCAAACUCCUACGGGAGGCAGCAGUGAGGAAUAUUGGUCAAUGGACGAGAGUCUGAACCAGCCAAGUAGCGUGAAGGAUGACUGCCCUAUGGGUUGUAAACUUCUUUUAUAUGGGAAUAAAGUAUUCCACGUGUGGAAUUUUGUAUGUACCAUAUGAAUAAGGAUCGGCUAACUCCGUGCCAGCAGCCGCGGUAAUACGGAGGAUCCGAGCGUUAUCCGGAUUUAUUGGGUUUAAAGGGAGCGUAGGUGGAUUGUUAAGUCAGUUGUGAAAGUUUGCGGCUCAACCGUAAAAUUGCAGUUGAAACUGGCAGUCUUGGAGUACAGUAGGAGGUGGGCGGAAUCGUG
rnacentral:rRNA from 1 species